rnacentral:rRNA from 1 species
GCGUAGGGUGCGAGCGUUAAUCGGAAUUACUGGGCGUAAAGCGUGCGCAGGCGGUUUCGUAAGACAGAGGUGAAAUCCCCGGGCUCAACCUGGGAAUGGCGCUUGUGACUGUCAGGCUAGAGUAUGUCAGAGGGGGGUAGAAUUCCACGUGUAGCAGUGAAAUGCGUAGAGAUGUGGAGGAAUACCGAUGGCGAAGGCAGCCCCCUGGGACGUCACUGACGCUCAUGCACGAAAGCGUGGGGAGCAAACAGGA